GCGGCAAUAGCUCAGUGGUAGAGCCGCCGCCUCGCAUGCGGGGAGACCUGUGACCUGGGUUCGAUUCCCGGCUACUUCC
rnacentral:tRNA from 1 species